ensembl:lncRNA
CUCUGAGCUAAGGACAUCAACAAGGCUCCCUGGAGAGCAAGUGUCACCCAGCAGGGCUGGUGGCAGGGGACAGCCUGCAAGGGAGCACAAGAAACGCAUGCACUGCACCCACGGACAGGCUUAUAGAAGCACUGCAGCUUGGUUUGUUGAACCAAGGAUUUGAGUUUAUUCCUAGCCUGGAUCAAGAAAGGAAUUUAGCCUUGAUUAGAGGUGUGGUUUAGCUAACUUUACAAGAGGGUUUCUUGUGGAAGAACAGCUGAAACAGUGGACAGGUCAUGCGGAAGGAUGCUAUGCUGUGGGAAGAGACGCCAGGAGAGAUAUUUCUGAGCUAAAGGCAAAUGAGUUGUGUUAUGAGGAAACAGUGAAGGUGAAGAGCUGGUGAGGGGAAAACAGCAAGAAGAGAGACAGCAAGCACAUGGAAGCACUGCCUCCUCUUUGGAUUUCACACCCUGGAUUAUGCUAUCUCCUGAGCUCAGAAUUGGUGAUAAACUUGCGAAAACUUUGCCUGGAAACCAUAGGAAGAGCAAGAGGAUCUUGGCCAGGGAUGGCACCACUGCAAGGAGCCUUCUGAGCUGCCCUGAGCAGAGCUGUGCUCCUCUGGACGCAAUGCGAGCAGAGCAGUGACCUUUCCUCUGCAACCUGGAACAGAUGAGUUUGAGAUUGUUCACAGAGGGUUCAGGGGCACAGGGGAGAAAGGAUAUUUCAUUACCAUUGCCAAGAAAAUCUUUCAAUAAAUGAGAAAUUGCUAUUUGUUUUGUAUUGGACCAGACUGCAUCCAGAUUGCUCCUCUGUUGGAGCCUGGUUGUAUUUCGUUCCGUUUGUGUAACAAUUCUGGCCCUAACUUAAAGGGGUGGGUUUGCAUUUUGAGUGAUUGCCUGGUAAGUGGUAGAAUGGGACCCCUCAGCACAUCCCAUGCAGUACAUGUAGCGUGUACCACUGGGCUGUUUUCAAGGGGGUGGAGUUGUGGGAUAGGGAAAGCACUACAUUUUUCAUGAUACUUAAUACAUUGUGACUCAAAGACCAUUGGGGUCUCAUUUUGGCUUCAGUUCUGCAUUCAACCCAUUACUGACUUCUUACCCUUUCUCUAGAAGUCCUACUGGGUGACACCAUUUUGCACAAAGCAGACAGCUCCGUGAUGUGGCUUAGACUCGCACUACGGGUGGGCGUGCUUAAGUUAGAAUUGAAUAAAAUAUAUCCUAAAUGUGGAGCCAAUAGCUUAUUGUUUAGCUUAUUGUUGCUGAGGAUGCUCCACGUGGGUCCCUUCUGCUUCUGUCACACAGCUAAGAGAAACAAUCAUCUUCUUGGUCCCCAGAGCUGCUGCAAAGAUCUGUGAGCAGCAGCUGACCCCUCAAGAAAGCUGUCAGAGCCCUGUGGGCACCAGCAAGGGCAUCAGGAAUUUUAUUGGCCCUUAGGGCCUCCCUACUCUGCAUGAAGUCAAGGGAUGAAGGCCAGGACAAAAGCCAACUCCUUGCUGUCAUCCUGUUUUGGAGGAUCAAAGGCAGGAGGCAUCCAGGACACAGAGCUUUGCACAGUGGAGCAAAGGAUGGUUUGGGAGCACAUGCCCUGUAUGGCACAGCUGAUAGGUAGGUGCUCAACUGGUGCUUGAACAUAUUUCUCCUUCCCAGGUUCUUCAAGGAUCUCUAUGAAUGGAUAAUGGGGAAGGUAGCUGACAGAAACUGUAGCAGAGACAUGAAAGCAAUGAAUCAGUCAGAUCCUGCAGAUUAUGGCCAAUGACCCCUCGUGUCUGCCAUGGUGCAUGAAAUGCAGCCAAGAAGCCAGGGACUGUGUGUGACACAAAGAGAACGGCAUGUUGGAGAAUAGGAGAUCUCUGUAAAAUCACACACUGCACAGCAUCCAUACCCGGCCGCUCCAGAUCUGCCCUGGGGGGCAGCCUGUAUCCGUGGAUUCAUCCUUCCAGAACACAGCAAGGGAGAGGUGGUAGUGGUGCAGUAAAAGAAGAAAAUAGAUGGAUGAGUUAAUGGUAAUGACAGCCCAACUGGAGCUCGUUAGAAACCAGGACAAUGCAGGAUAAGCUGUUGCUAACACAUUUGUCAGUAAACUGAAAACCACAUUCAUUUAAAAAGGAUGAAUGCACAUAAAUGCAGGCAAGCAGGACUCAGAAAGGAGCUCUGUAAACUGCACUCUCAGAAACUCGUCUAUAUUAUGAAACCCCUAUACACUAAGAAAACCCUCUGCAUUAAAGACUGCAUUGACACUUUAAUCCAUUUAUUCAGUACAGAUCCCAACCACUUGCUUCUGGAAAGAACACAGUCCCUAAAAAGGCAUUCAGCCCUACUCUGACCAUACACUGCUGCUCUGUUUGCAGUACAGGUGAUGAAACAAGGUGUUGGGAUGUGACCAAAGGUAGGGCUGGCAGCUUCACCUUCUGCAUUAGAGUGAAAGCUCAGUCCCUCACACUGUAGACCCUAUUUUCAACUGCAUACAACGUUGCCAAACUAUAACCAUUUGGAAUGAAAAUUUUAAUGCCAGGUAUCUGCCUCAGGCUGAAGCUUUUGGAGAAUGUCCACAAACUCAGCCGUUUCCAAUAAUGAAGGAACUGACUUGGACUUCUCACAUCCCAGCCAGCCAGCCGGAUCCUGGGCCGCAUCCAAAGCAUUUGCAGGGAGGGGAUCCUGCCCCUCUGCUCUGCGCUGGGACACCUCACCUGGAGCACCGCGUCCACAGGUGGAGUGCUCAGCACAGGAGAGACGGGGGCCUGUUGGAGUGCGUCCAGAGGAGGGCCACGGAAAUGAUCAGGGAUGGAGCAGCUCCCUACGAGGACAGGCUGAGAGAGCUGGGCUGUGCAGCCUGGAGAGGAGAAGGCUGUGGGAGACCUGAGAGCGGCCUGUUGUAUCUAAAGGGGGGCUGUAAGAAAGACAGGGACAGGCUCUUCAGCAGGGUCUGCUGUGAUAGGACAAGGGGAAAUGGCUUCAAACUAAACAAAGAGAGAUUUAGAUUGGAUAUUUUGCUACAAAAUCAGAAAGGAAGUUUGCUACAAUCAGAAUGGUGAGGCACCAGGGCAGGUUCCCCAGAGAGGUGGUGGAUGCCCCAUCCCUGGAGACACUCAGGGUCAGGGUGGAGUGGCUCUGAGCACCUGAUGGAGCUGUGGGUGUCCCUGCACAUUGCAAAGCAGUUGGACUAGAGGAGUUGUAGUCCUUGCAACCUAAACAAUUCUAUGAUUAUUCUAUGAUGGAAAUGCAGAGGAACAGUAGCCAUGGAUAGUGAUGUAAGCUGGGACCUGGUGCUGGCAUGUGCUUUUUAGAGAUGAAAAAUCUGAGGCACAAAUCAUUAACAAAUAAAAGUUAAACGAGAUCAUCUUGUCUGGACUGGAGAAAAUGGAUAAUCUGGAAAUAGUCUGAUCCUGGGAAACUCUUUUUUUUCUACAUAGCUUUUUCUUCCAACAUUUUUUCAGCUAUAUUGUCAAGGUUAUAUAAAAGAAGCACGUCCAUUGCC